CCUACGUGAGGCAGCAGUGAGGAAUAUUGGUCAAUGGGCGCGAGCCUGAACCAGCCAAGUAGCGUGAAGGAUGACUGCCCUACGGGUUGUAAACUUCUUUUAUAAAGGAAUAAAGUGAGGCACGUGUGCCUUUUUGUCUGUACUUUAUGAAUAAGGAUCGGCUAACUCCGUGCCAGCAGCCGCGGUAAUACGGAGGAUCCGAGCGUUAUCCGGAUUUAUUGGGUUUAAAGGGAGCGUAGAUGGGUUGUUAAGUCAGUUGUGAAAGUUUGCGGCUCAACCGUAAAAUUGCAAUUGAUACUGGCAGUCUUGAGUACAGUUGAGGUAGGCGGAAUUCGUGGUGUAGCGGUGAAAUGCUUAGAUAUCACGAAGAACUCCGAUUGCGAAGGCAGCUUACUAAACUGCCACUGACAUUGAUGCUCGAAAGUGUGGGUAUCAAACAGGAUUAGAUACCCUUGUAGUC
rnacentral:rRNA from 1 species